GCGUGCGCUACCGGCCAUUGUAGCACGUGUGUAGCCCAAUGCGUAAGGGCCGUGAUGAUUUGACGUCAUCCCCACCUUCCUCACAGUUUACACUGGCAGUCUUGCUAGAGUUCCCGACAUGACUCGCUGGCAACUAACAACAGGGGUUGCGCUCGUUAUAGGACUUAACCUGACACCUCACGGCACGAGCUGACGACAACCAUGCAGCACCUUGUAAAUUGUCUUGCGAAAAGUCUGUUUCCAAACCGGUCAAUCUACAUUUAAGCCUUGGUAAGGUUCCUCGCGUAUCAUCGAAUUAAACCACAUGCUCCACCGCUUGUGCGGGCCCCCGUCAAUUCCUUUGAGUUUCAUUCUUGCGAACGUACUCCCCAGGUGGGAUACUUAUCACUUUCGCUUAGCCACUGAGAUUGCUCCCAACAGCUAGUAUCCAUCGUUUACGGCGUGGACUACCAGGGUAUCUAAUCCUGUUCGCUACCCACGCUUUCGUCCAUCAGCGUCAAUCAAUUUGUAGUAACCUGCCUUCGCAAUUGGUAUUCCAUGUAAUCUCUAAGCAUUUCACCGCUACACUACAUAUUCUAGUUACUUCCAAACUAAUUCAAGCCAAACAAGUAUCAAUGGCCCGUCCCAUCGUUGAGCGAUGGGCGUUCACCACAUGACUUAUCUGGGCCGCAUACCGACCCCUUUAAACCCCAAUGAUUCCGGAAAUCGCGUUGGACUCCUCCGUAAUAACCGACGCUGCGUGCACCGAAAUAAGCCGAUCCUGAAUCUCCACGAGCGGUAAGCUACCUACAACGGAUUGUACUACUGUGCAAAACAAGUUACAAUCGAUAGACGGUGAUCCUGCACCGGCAUUGCC
rnacentral:rRNA from 1 species